UAGGGAAUCUUCGGCAAUGGACGAAAGUCUGACCGAGCAACGCCGCGUGAGUGAAGAAGGUUUUCGGAUCGUAAAACUCUGUUGUUAGAGAAGAACAAGGACGUUAGUAACUGAACGUCCCCUGACGGUAUCUAACCAGAAAGCCACGGCUAACUACGUGCCAGCAGCCGCGGUAAUACGUAGGUGGCAAGCGUUGUCCGGAUUUAUUGGGCGUAAAGCGAGCGCAGGCGGUUUCUUAAGUCUGAUGUGAAAGCCCCCGGCUCAACCGGGGAGGGUCAUUGGAAACUGGGAGACUGGAGUGCAGAAGAGGAGAGUGGAAUUCCAUGUGUAGCGGUGAAAUGCGUAGAUAUAUGGAGGAACACCAGUGGCGAAGGAGGCGCUCUGGUCUGUAACUGACGCUGAGGCUGGAAAGCGUGGGGAGCAAACAGG
rnacentral:rRNA from 1 species